GCAGGCUGGAUUUUGUGUAAUUAUUUAAAAAAUAUGGUGCUCAGACAGCAGAUAAAUCAAGAAAAGUGCCUGGCCCAGAGAAAUUGUUUCUGACGUUCUGAAACAAGGAUUUGAGAUGAUCGGGUUUCCUCUUUCUGCAAGGCACUGUCACAUCUUAAGUACCUCACAGCAUCAGAGAUGGAGGGAGACAGCUGAACACAGCUGAACACAGCCUGAACUGCCUGUGCACAACAGAUCCUGGCAUUGUUUUUUUUGGAAUGAACACAAAAACCUUGAUAGUGUUAUGGUUUAUGUGGCAUAUGAUAAUAAGCUGAUUCAUUUCCUGCUUAGAUUCUUACCCAAAUUUAGAUCUAUUUUAUUGUUGUUGUUGUCUAAGAAGCAGUUAAAGAUGUAUCUCUGCAUCCUAGCAGUUUCUCAUCUCCAUACAGGAAACAAAUUCUAUAUGGUUCUGCUGCAACUUGAUCCUGUGCCCAGGAAUGUUUCUCGUCAGCACCACCACCACCAAAAAAGGAGCACUUUUUAAAUUGUAUCAAGGUAGGAUGAGGUGCAUGUCCACACUCCCCUCUCUGCUGAGGAAGCACAUCAACAUUUGGGCCUUUCCUGCAGUGAAAGGCCCCAGCACACGUCUCCGCGCCCAGCCUUGAAGCAGGGGAAAUCUUUCCUCCUCAUAGGGAAUCUCAGUGCUGGGAUGCUAUGCCCUCAUUUCCUACCACCACCUGCCUGUCCUCUUUGGGCAUUAGAACCCUUUUGCUGGGUGCAGGAUGCCCUGGGAAGUGCUUGGAGCUGCCACGCCUAACUUGGUGUGCUUGUACACACUGAGCAGCACACUAGGCAAGUCUCCUGCUGGAGUAACAAAUUGGGGUGAUGCUGAUAACACAGCUUCCUGUGUUUGCUUAUUAAAAUGUAGGGUACAAAAGGAGCUAAGUUGUGUAGCUUUCCCUCAUGUGCAGCUGCUUUGUGUUGAUGCAACUUCCUUGGGAAGCAAAAAAUCAACAGGAAAAUUCAGGCUUUUUUUCCCACUGAGUCAUGCUGUUGCAGCUAUGCCAGAAGACAGAGCUUUCUGUGUUGGUAGUGUCAGCCUUUGUGUCACAGCUUGCAAACCUCCCUGCAUGCUGCAGCUCCGACGGCAGCAAAUCAGCUUCACGCUCUUCUGGCUGAAGGCUUUUGGGAAGGUUCGAAGAUGAAUACAUGAAGCACUGUGAAGCAGAUUAAAGCACAGGCACCAGCGGCGCAUGCCAAGGCUCUGCUCCCAGACCUGUGAACCGAUGCCAAGCCUUCCACAUCUUGUUCCAGAGGCUAUGAGCACAGUCUCCCAGCAGAACAGCAGCACAAGAGCUGUUUAGAGCACGGAUGCUGCCAUGCAGGUGGAAAGGGAGAAUGUUGGGGACUUGCUGCAGAAUCAUCUCAGCUACAGCAAAAUGUUCAACCAAAGUAAACAGAAACCAGCAACUAAGCUGAUGUGGCAAGUGUGGGUGAUCUACAUAGCCUUGGCUGCACACCUCCCUGAAGAACAAGCCCUGAGACUGGCCUGUCUUUCAUGCGAUGCCACUGAGUCUUGCAACUGCUCUUCCAUGGGUUUGGACUUCAUUCCCUCAGGGCUCACGGGCAAAAUCACGAUGUUAAACCUGGCCCACAACAGGAUAAAGCUGAUCCGGGCACAUGAUCUGCAGCAGGCUGUGAACCUGAGAG
ensembl:lncRNA